rnacentral:rRNA from 1 species
AACGAACGCUGGCGGCAUGCCAAACACAUGCAAGUCGAACGAGACCUUCGGGUCUAGUGGCGCACGGGUGCGUAACGUGUGGGAACCUGCCCUUAGGUUCGGAAUAACUCCCCGAAAGGGGUGCUAAUACCGGAUAAUGUCUUCGGACCAAAGAUUUAUCGCCUUUGGAUGGGCCCGCGUUGGACUAGCUAGUUGGUAGGGUAAAAGCCUACCAAGGCGACGAUCCAUAGCUGGUCUGAGAGGAUGAUCAGCCACACUGGGACUGAGACACGGCCCAGACUCCUACGGGAGGCAGCAGUGGGGAAUAUUGGACAAUGGGCGGAAGGCUGAUCCAGCAAUGCCGCGUGAGUGAUGAAGGCCUUAGGGUUGUAAAGCUCUUUUACCCGGGAUGAUAAUGACAGUACCGGGAGAAUAAGCUCCGGCUAACUCCGUG